UACGAAGGGGGCUAGCGUUGUUCGGAAUCACUGGGCGUAAAGCGCACGUAGGCGGAUCGUUAAGUCAGGGGUGAAAUCCUGGAGCUCAACUCCAGAACUGCCUUUGAUACUGGCGAUCUCGAGUCCGGAAGAGGUGAGUGGAACUCCUAGUGUAGAGGUGGAAUUCGUAGAUAUUAGGAAGAACACCAGUGGCGAAGGCGGCUCACUGGUCCGGAACUGACGCUGAGGUGCGAAAGCGUGGGGAGCAAACAGG
rnacentral:rRNA from 1 species